CCUACGGGGGGCAGCAGUGGGGAAUAUUGGACAAUGGGGGGAACCCUGAUCCAGCCAUGCCGCGUGUGUGAAGAAGGCCCUCGGGUUGUAAAGCACUUUCAGUGAGGAAGAACGCCUGGUGGUUAAUACCCAUCAGGAAAGACAUCACUCACAGAAGAAGCACCGGCUAACUCCGUGCCAGCAGCCGCGGUAAUACGGAGGGUGCGAGCGUUAAUCGGAAUUACUGGGCGUAAGCGGGCGUAGGUGGCUUGAUAAGCCGGUUGUGAAAGCCCCGGGCUCAACCUGGGAACGGCAUCCGGAACUGUCAAGCUAGAGUGCAGGAGAGGAAGGUAGAAUUCCCGGUGUAGCGGUGAAAUGCGUAGAGAUCGGGAGGAAUACCAGUGGCGAAGGCGGCCUUCUGGACUGACACUGACACUGAGGUGCGAAAGCGUGGGUAGCAAACAGGAUUAGAUAUCCUUGUAGUC
rnacentral:rRNA from 1 species